rnacentral:rRNA from 1 species
ACAAAGAACCCAGGGCAACUCUGGGAGGGGGCAUCAACACGAUCAAGCUGUGCGGGAACCAAACCAAAAUAGGGACAGCCGGGGUGGUUCAUACUUCCUUGUCAGGGGUGAAAUCCUAUGAUUAAGGAAAGAUGAACUAGUGCGAAAGCAUUCCACAAGGAUGUUUUCAUUAAUCAAGAACGAAAGUUGGGGGAUCGAAGACGAUCAGAUACCGUCGUAGUCUCAACCAUAAACCAUGCCGACCAGAGAUCGGGUAAUGCUUUCCGAAGGGAAACAAGGCUCGCCCGGCAUCUUUGAGAGAAAUCAUUGAGUGUUUGGGCUUCGGGGGGAGUAUGGUCGCAAGGCUGAAACUUAAAGGAAUUGACGGAAGGGCACCACCAGGAGUGGAGCCUGCGGCUUAAUUUGACUCAACACGGGGAACCUUACCAGGUCCAGACAGUGGAAGGAUUGACAGAUUGAGAGCUCUUUCUUGAUUCGCUGGGUGGUGGUGCAUGGCCGUUCUUAGUUCGUGGUGUAAAUUGUCUGUGUCAAUUCCGCUAACGAACGAGACCUUAACCUGCUA